GCUGCCUGGAACAGAAGAGCAGAGGAUCAGAGGCACCACCAGAGACUCUCAGAGUGGGUUAUUACCCUGGUGGGGGCGCCUGCUGCGGCGUAGGAGAUGGCGGGACUGGGGGCGCGGGUGUGAAGCCCCCAAGAAAUCUGUGUGAAUUUCCUGGGGAGGUGGAGAAGAGUACCCAAGAAGGACAAGCUUGGAAUGGGGCCCCCUCCCCAGGCUGGAGAUCAGACAUUGUUGGAGAAGGUAUCAUUGCAGCCCCCUACAUAGCAGAGAGAUUUGCUGAGUUGCAUAGUCUAGAGCUGGUUGCAAUUAUUGGACAAGCAGGAAACAAACCUCCACAGCCCAUGCGAGCCACACUGCUGGGUUGAGUGUAUGAGCAUGUAGAAUGAUUGGGUCUCCAGUGCGGACAGAAGGCAUGGAUCGCGUGGUGCCUGUGUUGGGAGGAUACUAAGAGGGCGAUCACCAUGCCAGGACAAGACUAGUUGCCUGGGAUCUUCUGGGCACGUGACUGGAGCAGAGUACCACUGGAUCUCCUCACACCAGCCAGACCCAGGAAGAGAAGCUCCUUUCACCUGCACUGUUCUCUCAGCACCCUCCACGGAGAAAGCUUCAUGUUAUGCUUAGUGUACAGGAGAAAUGCUCAUGGGAAUCCUGUCCAUUAUCACAGAGCAGGUAUUAGUGGGUGAAUAUGGAGCUGAGAAGUAAUAAGUUGUAACUGGCAUAGAUAUCAUGGGGAUAUUUGAAGAACGCUGUGAACACAUAUGCAUGGGUCCAUGUAUUCAUGAGUGUGCACAUAUGUGUAAUUAUUCAUACAAUUCAUGGUGGAUACUACUUCGAGGGUGUUCACAGACCCCAGGCAGAGAGCGCCUGGAGGGAAAAUUAUCCAAGGCAGGCCCAUUCAUAGUUCCAGGACAGCCAGAAGAAAGCCUCCGUUAAGCACCAGAAGUCUCCGGGGCAGGUGGGGCCAGGCAGCAUGAAAGAAUUGGCCGCAAGAGUUCCAAACCCUGUCCCAAUUAUGGAGGGUGACUUUUCUUUGUCCUCCUUCUCCAUUCCCUUCCAUAUUGCUCAUGCAUCCAAAGGGAGACCUGAAGACUCUCUAGCAGGGCAAGGCCAUUUUCUUUUGGCAUUUUUCUCUCCCCAGAGUCUAGCUGAUUAUCAGCUUAGACACACAGCAGGCUAUGUGCUGUGAACAACAGGCAUCCUGGGUUAUUUUACAAACUCAUGGAUAGUCAUUUUGAAACCACCUUUGCAAAAUUGUGACUGAAACAGUGAAAGAGAGCUAACUUAACCAGCUCCAUCUUGUUUCUAACCUCCAAGCUGUCUUUGUUCAUUCCUGGGCGUAGGCUGAACUAACUUUGGGAGAAACUUAGUUUGUAGUUAUAGUUUAAACAAAGACUGUGACAGCCCUUUCCCAAUGCAGACCUCCUUCUUGUCUGGGGACUAGACUAACAUUAGCCACAGGAUUAGAAAUUACGGUUUAGGAGUCACGCAGCUGGAGGCUACAAGAUUCUGACCCUCCCUAAACUGCUUCUAAGAUCAGUGCUUGAGACAUGUUGCAGACCCCGCACUUGCUGGAUCAGCUGACGCCACACAGAUGGAUAAACUGCCUCGUCUGAUCUUGUGGCCCCCACCCGGGAACUGACGAAGCGCAAGAAGACAGCUUCGACUCCCUGUGAGUUCAUCCCUGACCAACCAGCACUCCUGGCUCACUGGCUUCCCCCUACCAAGUUAUGCUUAAAAAUUCUGCUCCCCGAAUUCUCGAGGAGACUGAUUUGAGUGAUAAUAAAACUCCAGUCUCCCGCA
rnacentral:lncRNA from 1 species